GACGAACCGUGCAAACGUUGUUCGGAAUCACUGGGCCUAAAGGGCGCGUAGGCGGGUGGCCAAGUCAGGGGUGAAAUCUUUCGGCUCAACCGGAAAAUUGCCUUUGAUACUGGCCGUCUUGAGGGAGGUAGGGGCAUGUGGAACUUCCGGUGGAGCGGUGAAAUGCGUUGAUAUCCGAAGGAACGCCGGUGGCGAAAGCGACGGGCUGGAUCUCUUCUGACGCUGAGGCGCGAAAGCUAGGGUAGCGAACGGG
rnacentral:rRNA from 1 species